rnacentral:tRNA from 1 species
GCCGAGCUAGCUCAGUUGGUAGAGCAGCUGAUUUGUAAUCAGCAGGUCGCGGGUUCAAGCCCUGUGCUCGGCUCCA